GAGCCCCGCCGCGCCGUGUAGUGGGGCAUGGAGAUGGGUUCCGGGGGCGUAGCUCCCAUGAGUUUCCGCAGCCAAUCCCCUGGGCUUCCAUCGGCCCCUAAGAUUUGGCCGCCGCUCCCAUGGGCUUCUGCGGCCGCGUCCCCGCGCUUCCACCGGCGAUGCCCCGUUGUAUUCUGACCAGCGUUGUCCGUGUAGUGGCUGUUCUGCGGGAGGCAACAACGCGUAGCACGGGAGCCGGUUGAACCGGAACAUCACUGGUCAACAACCACAUCUUUAGACCCGCAAAAAAAAAAACCACAUCUUUAGGCAGCAGGCUGCAAUACCAAGGAACUGUUCUUCGUUCCUGUUCCUGGUGCCUAAAUCGCGGGGUGAUUUGGAUCUUAGCGACAUGUUCUGAAUGAUGGCUGAAAACCAUCAAAUUGUAGUCAAUUUAGCAGUAUCCAGUGUCAAGAAAAAUCACCGAUUCGUUUUCUUCAUCUUUCGAUUUGUAUGAUUCAAUCUUAGUACUAGUAGAUUUCAGAGUAAUGCAUAGGUUCUACAGCUCGUUGUUGUUAUUGUUGCUGGUUGGAUUCAGCAAUUUGAUUUCUUUUUCAUGUCCAGGCUGGGCUGAACGCAAUCAAUGAUGGCUUUUACAAGGUACAUGUCUAAUGCCGGGACUAUAGCGUUGAGGAAGGCAAUAUGCGACAAGCUUCAGAGUGUGUGCGCAUGCGGAUGAAUUUCUCAUUUGCAGAAUAUUCAGAUUGGAUAAGUAGUCAAAUUGACUUACUCAAUGUUCGGAUAUUCAUAUGCAGAGGAGAAUGACCAGAUCGGGUGCUAGUGCGAGACAGAGCUAACCGUAUGCUGGCAAGUGGAGCGAAGAAGAAAAAAUCAGAAUGUGGAAGUACGGCCAAUAUGGAGCAAACUCCAGUUUGAGGAUGUCCUUUGUUAAGGUGGCAUUUAAAUUGCCUAUUGUUGUUUUCACCUAAUAAUUGCUUCUAUGUUCUCUUUAAAGAUAAUCAGGAAACUAGUAUUAAACGUCUUAUCCUGAUCCAGGUAGCACUCAUCAAGGGAUAGCACUUUGUUAUCUUUGGGGUUCAUCCUAUUUUUUACGUUUUUUGA